UCACAUACCUGGACGGGGUCAAUGGACGAUCCUGAAGGUCUAUGGCCUAGGUUAGUGAUCUCCUCUGCACUUUGGAGGGGUACCCGCCUAAGAUCAGCCCACGUGGUCGAGUCUACGUCAUAGUUUGUAGCAAGCAGUGGAGGCCUGUGUUCGCGCGGCCUUCGC
rnacentral:snRNA from 1 species